GUUGGCAGGGAUAAGUGACUCUGGGUAUCAGGAGAAGGGAGAGUUCUGGUUCCCAAGGAGGGCGGGGAGGAAUUGUUUGUCUUUCAUGUGAACCAUCUAAGCAACUUGGUAUUUCUUUGCUCAAUCUUGAAUUUAAAUUAAAUUAAAAGGUUCAGGAGCCAGAAAAAAAAAAAAAAAACAUGACAAGGACUCAGAGCUCUCAGUAAUGAGGAUCUGGAUUCCCCGACCAGGUCAGUCAUCUAGAAUAGCAAGAUUCUGAGAGUGAAGGGAAGCUAGAGUGGAAAGUAGAGGGAGAGAAUACGUAUUAGCUGAUGCUCUGAGAUUUGCUUUGGUCAUGGUGAUUAUAGUUUGUACCACUAACCUCUCUUUUCAACAUUUCCCCCAGGAAAAGAGACAGCAGGAUACUGGAGCCACUGCUCAAGUUAUAUGAAGAAGUACAUGAACUGAAAUGGACACGAGGUUGUGCUACCAGGAUCCCUGCAUUGGUUAGCAUGGUAAAAAUCCCACACAUAAUGAGAAUUCAGGAGCACAGUAUCACAAUGGCCAAGGUAAACAACCUUGUGAAUUUCUUUUGCAUGGACUAUAUUUGAAGCUCUCAGUGUUAUUAUUUCAUCUUUCAGUUAAACACACAGACAUGUAAAUACACACAUGUAUUUACAAUUAGUUGUAAAUGCCAAAAGAAACAUGAACUAGGCCAUAAGUUAUUAGGGACAAAACUGAAUGCCUCUUACAGACUUUUAAAUUACACUGUUAUCUUCACCCAAAUUAUUUGUAUUUAAGGAUCAAUAGUAACAUAUUAGUAAGUAGUCAAAGUACAAUAAACAAGAGAAAAAUAUUUAUAAAAACACUAAUAAUAUAUAUUUCCACUUCUAACCAUGAUGGGUAACUGGUAUUGAACAUGUUUCCCACCAUAAAUAACUGUAAAGCUGGGCAAAAUCUACGUAAUAACUUGCUUCAGAGGUUGUACAACAUACAACACUGAACUGAGACCUUUGAGAGACCCUUAAGCUCCAUGAUUGCUUUGGCUUUCUUCCUAGAGGCAAUUUUUGGAGGUGGUAGUAGUGGGGGUUGCUAAGAAGAGUACAGCAGUUUCACUGAAUUGAGAAGACAGAAAGUGGGGCUCAAGGGUAGUGAAAUGGUUGGAAUGAUUAAGGAAGAUAGCUGGAAACAAGGGAGUUGUG
rnacentral:lncRNA from 1 species